rnacentral:rRNA from 1 species
GACGAACGCUGGCGGCGUGCCUAAUACAUGCAAGUUGAGCGCUGAAGGUUGGUACUUGUACCAACUGGAUGAGCAGCGAACGGGUGAGUAACGCGUGGGGAAUCUGCCUUUGAGCGGGGGACAACAUUUGGAAACGAAUGCUAAUACCGCAUAAAAACUUUAAACACAAGUUUUAAGUUUGAAAGAUGCAAUUGCAUCACUCAAAGAUGAUCCCGCGUUGUAUUAGCUAGUUGGUGAGGUAAAGGCUCACCAAGGCGAUGAUACAUAGCCGACCUGAGAGGGUGAUCGGCCAGAUUGGGACUGAGAAACGGCCCAAACGCCUACGGGAGGGAGCAGUAGGGAAUCUUCGGAAAUGGACGAAAGUCUGACCGAGCAAGGCGGCGUGAGUGAAGAAGGUUGUCGGAUCGUAAAACUCUGUGGGUAGAGAAGAACGUUGGUGAGAGUGGAAAGCUCAUCAAGUGACGGUAACUACCCAGAAAGGGACGGCUAACUACGUG